AAACCAAACGGUCCUUUAAAGAGAGGAAAGGGUUCCUCUAUCAAAACCCUAGUGCGCCGCCUCACCCUCUCUCCACUCUCAUGCGUCACUUUGCGGAUAAAGAUAAAAACACCGGCGUACGUCACCUUUUCCAGCUUUUUCAUGGUCGAUUAGGGUUGAGGAAGCAAAAUCUUCCAAGUUCAAAUCUCGACAAGUGGCUGAACUCACAAGAGAGUUUGGUCACUUAUCGUGUAAAAGAUCAUGAAUGACUUACCUAAGGACAAGAAAGAAGUGGUGGGGCUUUGAGAUACAAGUCUAACGCAGCCCAAUCAUUUGGAAUCUAGGCUGUUGGGGUUCUUCAUGUGACAUUACACACUAUGUGAUCUAAUAUUUAUUAAAGGGGCUUGUGUAGGUCAGUCAUAUGAGAUGUCAAGAAACUUUAUGCUUUAUGAUGGGGGUAUAGCAUCGGGGUGGGCGUUCAGUAUUCGGUUCGAUAUUUUCAAAGUACAGGUUUGGUAAUUCGGUAAUCGAUAAUUGAAAGUAAAUACCAAAUACCAAACUUUCAAACUUCAGUUUGGUAAUUCGAUAAUCGAUAAAUCAAAUUUCGAUUUGGUACAGUAUUCGGUAAUACCACAUUGAAGUCGAAGAUCAUCACUGGCCAAGCUCAUUUGACCAUAUAUAUAACGGCUUCCGUUAAUGAUCUUGAUAGGAGAAAUGUUUCUAAUAACAUAAUCACUUAAGUAACAAUCCUGGCCUUUUCUCAGAUAUCUAACACUCGAAGUGCAAAGGUAAAAGAUUUGGAACCAAAACUGACCUCUAAUUUACAAGGAUCACGUUAAAUCAACUAAAGCACAAAUCUUCAAAUUAGGUAUGACCAUGCAAGCAUACAUGGAGCCAAAAUAAGUAGACAAUCUCUACCAAGAAAAUUAAGAGAGGCAAUAAUUUUUGUUACCUGUUACUCUGCCUCCACUACCCUAACCUAGAGCCAAAAUAAGAAGGGAAAAAAGGAAAUAAAGAAGAGGACCAAACAACUAGUAAGCAAUGACUACGAAUUGGAGGGUAAGGCAAAAAGUAGAUCAGAUCACUUCACAACACAUGUCCAAUAUAACUUAAAUAUAUUACAACAUAAAUCAAAACUGCCGACAUGGAGAAAAGACAAGAUCUUAAGGAUAAACAAGUACAAAGGGGAUAUCUAUUACAUUGUAAUAAGGAGACCUUAAGAAGAGGAAAUUAAGGACAACAGAAAAUUAUUUCGGUAUUCGAUAAAAUGGAAUACCAAAUGGUAUUUUUAUUGAAUAUUGAAUACCGAAUACCGUAUUUUUCAAUUUUAUUCCUGAAAACCGAACCGAAAACCGAAAUACCGAAUUACUUAAAUUCUCGGUUCGGUUCAGUUCGGUUUGGUAAUCCGAUUUUCGGUGUUUUAUGCCCAUCCCUAGUAUAGCAUGAUAAAUAAAUUGGAUUUCCUAUUUUAUGUGGUUUUGAGCACUCUAUGUCUGUAUAUUUAAGAGAUAUUUAGAUAUACCAUCUCUGCUAUGACCCUUGAACUGUCUGCAUGUUCCUUUCAAAUAAUUUAUGCCAUGAUUAAAUCUUUGUAAGCAUGUAUAGUAGUCAGUCUGAGUAUAAUGACUGUAUACAAAGAGUAUAUCUAAAAAUAUACUAAGUAUGCCCAAAAUUCUGCAUACCCCAGGUAUAUAUGAGUUUGUAUACUUAGUGAAUAUGAUGUAUAUCCUCCAUUUUUUUUAAUUGACCUAUAUCUCAUGACUACUUGAAUGAUAAGCAUAUGUGUGUUCUCGUAUUAGGCUCUGAUUGGUCCUGUUAUUUAUGUUUGGUCUAUUUUUUUUCUCUAAGGUCAUGCGGGCUUUCUAUGCUUCUCAAAUUUCUCGUCAUUCGACCUAGUUGGGCCAUCUGUAUUCCUAUUUUUUGGGGCUAGUCCUUGUACUAUUUCUGAUAAUCGUACAUGUGGGUGUGAUAAAUUAUGUAUAGUUCUUUAUCAUAGUUAUGCACACAAACCUUAAGCAUUCCCUAAUCCUUGUCUUUUUCGAUGUUCCAUGUGAUUUAUAUACCGGGCCAUUUGGGCCACCUUUCUGCAUCUCAAAACCUGUUGGGCCUGAGGCCUAACUAUUUCUCUUUGAUCGAGUCCGAUGAAAAUAAGGGAAGCUAAUAUAUUGAAGGCCCAACCAUGGGUGAAAAUGGUUGAAGGCCCAGCUAUGGGUAAAAAUAGCAAACUGGUGGGCUUAGGUAUGCCCACCAAUCUAACUCUGUUCUUUUAUUUCGAUUGCUAAGUGUACAUGUAUUUGUAAGGACAUGUAAAAAAUAUUUAAAACCCCUUAUGUAUGUGUAGAACUAGGAAACACUUAGUAUUUUAGGGAGUCACCUAAAACACUUUCAAAACUCAGUUAAUUUUUAACUUUGCAUAAAAUGGUAUUCAAUAUGAUUUUGUUAAGGUUCAAAACUGACUCAAUAUUUCGGAUAAGUUAAACGAUUUCACAAAAAAAAUGGUUAAGUAGUAAAAUGAUUUGGGGCCUUCCGCCCCAUUGAGAAAUUUGGGUAAUAAAAUAGAGGAUACUUAAAUUGUUUUGGGCCUUAAGCCCAAUUGCUGAAACCGUGAAUUAUUUCUUGAAUUUCUAAGAACAAAUUUUGAAGCAAAAAAUAAGCUAUAGACCUGUUUUUAAUAGAGUGAUUUCUCCAAACACUUUUGAAAUUUUCUGGAAAAAUAUGGAGGACUUGGGAUCACUUAGAACAGAAAUGGACUCUUAAAAUUUGGACUUAAAAUGAUUUUGAGCCGUUGGGCCGAAGAAGCCCAAAAUGCUGUGGACCGAAAAAUAAAAGAAAUCUGUUGGGCCAAGUUUGAGAUGAGAUGGAUUUGAGUUGGAAUACAAGUUGACCAGUAUGGGCUUCAAUCAUAAAAUUGGACUUAAAUAAACAUUUGUAUUUUCUUUAUCUAUAUGUACAAAAAUCGGAGAUAUACACCAUAUUUUUUUAUAUAUGUAUAAUAAAACCCGUAAGAACUAAACUCAUUUUAUUAUUAUUAGAAUAGUAGUGACUCUACUAGGGAGAAAUCCCGGGUGUGUUCUCGUCCGGCAAUAAAGUGAGUUUAACACUUGCGCGGAUUUUUAAACCCAAAAACCCCUUUUCUAAGGAGACUUUUUUGCCAAAAAUUUUCUUGAGUUCAUGAUAGAAAUGAAUGACAUUUUUGCGGAAAGACUAACACUUUUAAGCAGAUAAUACAUUAAUCAUAUAUUGAAGCUCGUAUGUUAACCGUAUUCUAUAGAUUUUUAAUACUAGGGUGCAUAAAACCUUCCCUAGGGGAUCACCAUUAUCCUUACCUCGAACUUUGGUAUCUAAAGAUUUCUCUCUUGCUUGAAAAAUCUAUUUACCCUAUUUUUCCUAGUUUUCCUUAAAUAAAUUAGGUGGCGACUCUAAAUAUACUAAAUCCAAUUAGAGCACCAACAACCUCUUAGUAGCUUUUAUGCACCCACGUAAAAGUGAACCGUAACACAUUUUUUUUUUUUUUACAAAAAACGAUUUUCCUACAUGAUGAAACUAAAUUCAUCAUUCGAAUAUCGAAGCCGAAGGGGUUUCGAGUCCAAAAAAUUGAAGGUACGGCAGCGCCGACAACACGAAUCAACUUUAAAUAGAAAAACUAACUGCAGGUUCCCGGGAUGUCAGGAGGACGAUCCACUUUUCUAGUUUUGUUUCGUGUGCUGGAAAUGGUUCACCAAAGGAGGUUGAGACCGCCGCUGAGAUCGGGAUUUUAGGGAAAAUAUCAAACCACGAGGGCUAUAAAGGAUUUUGAAUGCCAAAAGGGAAAAUAUCAAGCCACGAGGGCUAUAAAGGACUUGAAUGCCACAGGGAAAAAUAUCAAGCCACGAGGGCUAUAAAGGACUUGAAUGCCACAAGGGAAAAUAUCAAGCCACAAGGGCUACAAAGGACUUGAAUGCCACAAGGGAAAAUAUCAAGCCAUAAGGGCUAUAAAGGACUUCAAUGCUACAAGGGCAAAUAUCCAGCCACGAGGGCUACAAAGGACAAAAACGCCAUAAGGGUGAAAUAUCCGGCCGAAGAGGUCGUAGUAAAGCAAUACGGCAUAUCUGAAAUUAAGGAUCAUAGCCGGCAUAAAGGAUGAAAGAAAGACGAUUUAGCCAAAGGGAAAUAUGUCAAUCCAUUGUAAUUUCUUAUUUGCCGUGAGGGCCAUUGCAUAUUUCCUUUCUUGUUGUCGUAAGGGCCAUUCAUAAUUUCUUAUUUGCCAUGAGGGCCAGUUGCAUAUUUUUUCUCUGUUUCCAUGAAGGUCAUUCAUAUUUUCUUAUUUUCCAUGAGGGCCAUGUGCAUAUUCCUUUUAUGUUCCCAUGAGGGCCAUUCAUAUUUUCUUAUUUUUCAUGAGGGCCAUUGCAUAUUUCCUUUUUUGUUGCCAUGAGGGUCAUUCAUAUUUUAUUAUUUGCCAUGAGGGCCAUUUGCAUAUUUCUUAUCUAUUGCCGUGAGGGCCAUUCAUAUUUUCUUAUUUGCCGUGAGGGCCAUUUGCAUAUUUUUUCUAUUUGCCAUGAGGGACAUUCUUAUUUUCUUAUUUGCCGUGAGGGACAUUCUUAUUUUCUUAUUUGCCGUGAGGGCCAUAUUCAUACAGACAUGCUGUAGAGGCCAUAUUCAUACAAGUAUGCCCAGAGGGCCAUUUAUGCAUACAAAUUAUCAAAUACAAUCAAAGUAUCAAAGCGAUGUAAAGGCGAUGUAAAACCAGUUAGAUGACUGCAGUAUUCGCUCCAAGGGUCAAGGUCAUAUAAAUUUGGUCGGACGACUGCAAUAUUCGCUACGAAGGUUAAGACGAUGUAAAUCAGGUUAAGGGGCCACAAUAUUCGUCAGCAAAAUUAACCAAUGUUACUCAGCAGGUGGAAGCAGAUUUGCAGCCGCCAGAUGGAGCAAGCUUAUCAAAUCAAAUCCAGACAUAUGCGGAGCAAACCUGAAACUUUUUCUUAUGCAAUCGGUCGAGAUAGGGUGUCCAUGAGAGUCAAUCUCUCCGGUCAGGACUUGGAAGAUCACUUUUCCUCGCUCAGCCACACAAGGAUGUUUAUUUGCUUAUCUUCAUUGUUUGUUUUUAUUCCGCAACCGAUCGGAUGUACACUGGCACACAUACAAAGGCAUUCCCACAUAAGGGAUAUCUUUUUCCCUCGAUCGAGUCGAACUACAAGUGACUUGAUUCCUAAGAACAGGGAUAUGUAGGCGGACUCAAUGCCAGAGAGUCAGUCACACUCCAACCAAUUACUCCGGACUUCCCAGUCUUGUAGCUAGCCACAUGUUUAAAAAUUGCAUAAAAAUGAGAGGUAAUAUAAAUUGGGUCAGUCAAAAAUCGGGGUUAGCCAAAUUUUGUUAAUCAGGGAUGGUCCCGCUAUCCCCGAA